AAGACCGCUCCCUAAUUUGUAUGGGAGCGAGGACAAAACAACGGCCAUAUUGAGUGGUUAAACGCCAAGUUAAUCCUUCGCAGGAGUGUGACAUACCUGAAAUAACUCCCUUAUUUGAGGCGAUAGCGCAAGAACAUGAUAAUACCCAGGAGAGGAGUGCAGACCUCUGCCAGAGAUAACGACGUGCGCGACUGAGCUGUAAACACGACAUCAAGAAAAGAAGACGCUGUGGCGGUCGGACGAGGCCAAGCGGGCGCACAAGCUCACCAGCAAGCCGGCGAGCCAAAGCAAAUCCAUGGCGGACGGACACCCGGGCGUGCACGCGCGCGGACACCCGCGCAGGUGAGGGGGCGGAGCAGCGAGCCAGGCUCUGCUAUAGAAACCCUACAAGGAAGGGAUGCGACAAGCAACACGCGGGAGCUCGCAGUGCUACGCGAAGCUAGCGACAGGACAGGACAGGACACAUCACGUGAGCAGCGCUACAUACACCUCAUGAGGACAUGAAUGAUGUCACGAGUUUAAAGAGGACAGGACGGGAGCGGUGUUCUCGGUUAGCACUGAAUCGAGUCGCUAUAGUAGCGAAAUUAGCCUACACCGUUACCCGAGCGAUCCUAACCCGCUAGCGUGGUGAAAACAGAACACAAAGACAGAUUGUUUUCUAGUUAAGAACGUGGAAUAUUCUUCUUCUGACACACCCUGACCUCCAUCCGAUAAAAAUAUUCUCAAACGGGUUUGCACAGAGCUAAUACGGAAACCUAGCCGACGCCGUCGAUCCCUCGAUCUUCUCUUUAGCCGCCGGCGCGUCUUUUCCGCCCAAAUGACGACAGCGCGGCGUUUGUGACUAAAACCUGUCCGCAUUUAGCGGUACGACGAAUUUGAUCCUAGCAGUGAUGUCUGCUACAUAUUUUUGCGGCGAGCUCGGACGCACGUCACAAAGUUGGCGCGAGGAGUCCGCAGGGCAGGACAGGAUUCAGCGAGCCAGAAAGUCUGUCUUUGUUUUGUCGCGGCCGCUGUUGCCGUGCGCGUGGAAGUCCCGAACGCAUCUAAAAACAUACCUCAAGCGCUUCCUGUCCACGCCUGUAAUUGCUACCCGAAACCUACGGGGCUGCCCUGAACAUUUUUGUUCCGUUGGACUACCGAACGCGCCAAAUGCGCCUUUGAAAUGCGCUCAAUAGUGUUCAAGUAUUAGCCUUGUAACGGGCCGAGUCUACGGAUUAAAGCGCGCGGCCGGCGCACCUCUAAUUCCCCGUCCGAACAGUUUGGCAGCGCUUGAUAUUUUUAACUUUUCAUCCCCUUCCACUUUGAGCAAAAAAAAAAAAAAACCCAAGAUGGAUCGCGAUGACUUGUUUGCGCUCGCCUCACAGAUGUGGUAAACAUGUUCGCGUUCAAAGGGGAGCCCGCCGCGCUUGUCAAAACGGAGAUCGCGGGCUUUGAUUUAGCUGCCCCGCCAUAUGUGCAUCCUACACGCGCAGAGCGAUCGGAAGCCGGUUUUCCCACCGCGUAUCCUAUUUUACGCACGCGCCGCCGUUUAUUGGGCGGGGAGUCGUAUUCGGUCGCUUCAACGGCCGCCGCGCGCCUCGCUAUAUAGAACCGCGGUUAUUUCUGCUGGCCAAUAAACAAGGAUAAAAUAAAGUUUUGCCAUUUUGGAGUACGUAUCGUAAAACAUUUGUUUGUUUUUUUAAAGAACCCUAUUAAGGUAUUUUUAUACUUACAUAUGUGAAGUGUUCUAUUCAUUUACUUGUCUAUGAUGUUUGACGUUUGUUAGCAUAUGUUAGCUUUCCGACGGCAAACCUGGGUGGUUAUUUCAAAUACAUGUUUUUACAUAAAAAAAACCAACGUGUACAAAACCUAUUAAGGUAUUUUUAUACUUAUAUAU